rnacentral:lncRNA from 1 species
AGCUGCGGCUGAAGUAGUCAAUGCACCGUAGCAAGUGCGUGCAGCACAGUCCGAUAGUCCAUUGCAAAGUAGGCACCCCAAGAGGAAUAUCCACUCCACAAACCUUCACAACCCAGUACUGGAGGAGGUGUCGCUCGUCAACUCUCAAUGAGGUGUCACCUCCUCUCCAGAUGAGCAUGUUUUGCAGGAUGAGAAUGGAGCCAGUACCGUCCA